GAUGAACGCUAGCGAUAGGCUUAACACAUGCAAGUCGAGGGGCAGCAUGGUCUUAGCUUGCUAAGACUGAUGGCGACCGGCGCACGGGUGCGUAACGCGUAUGCAACUUGCCUCACAGAGGGGGAUAACCCGUCGAAAGACGGACUAAUACCGCGUACACUUGGGAUAGGGCAUCCUGACCCAAGGAAAUGAAAUUCGCUGUGAGAUAGGCAUGCGUCCCAUUAGCUAGUUGGUGAGGUAACGGCUCACCAAGGCGACGAUGGGUAGGGGAACUGAGAGGUUGAACCCCCACACUGGUACUGAGACACGGACCAGACUUCUACGGGAGGCAGCGGUGAGGAAUAUUGGUCAAUGGGCGAGAGCCUGAACCAGCCAAGUCGCGUGAAGGAUGACUGUCUUAUGGAUUGUAAACUUCUUUUAUACGGGAAUAACAAGAGCCACGUGUGGCUCCCUGCAUGUACCGUAUGAAUAAGCAUCGGCUAACUCCGUG
rnacentral:rRNA from 1 species